rnacentral:rRNA from 1 species
ACAGGUGCUGCAUGGCUGUCGUCAGCUCGUGUCGUGAGAUGUUCGGUUAAGUCCGCUAACGAGCGCAACCCUCACUGUGUGUUAUAUGUGUCACACGGGACCGCCGGUCUUAAGCCGGAGGAAGGUGGGAUGACGUCAAGUCAGCAUGGCCUUUAUAUCCUGGGCUACACACACGCUACAAUGGCCAACACAAUAGGUUGCUAAGCCGCGAGGUGGAGCCAAUCCAUAAAGUUGGUCUCAGUUCAGAUUGUAGGCUGCAACCCGCCUGCAUGAAGAUGGAGUUGCUAGUAACCGCAGGUCAGCUAUACUGCGGUGAAUACGUUCCCGGGGCUU